rnacentral:lncRNA from 1 species
UUUUAGAAAAAUGGAGGACAGUCCUUGAGCACCCUGAGUAGGUAAGAUCCUGGGGUGUCAGGGAGUGAAAAGUGAGCAGGGAGAGAGGUGUGUCUGUCUGGGCACCGAGAAGGUAAGAGGAUGCGAGUCGGGGGCUGGUUCACUUGGCAAGUAAGAGGCUGUAGAGAGGUUGCUGGCUGGAGUGGGCCGUGGAAUUGACCAGUUGAAUAAAUCUUGACAUCGGACUGGGGUGUUCUCCACAGGCCUGUGGGGGGCAGGGGUGCAAGCAGGUGAGCUGGCAGCGUCUUGGACACACAGAGCUGGGUGUGAGUGACUCACCUGGAGCACAAGGCCUGCAUCAUUUCCCCAGGAAGGUAGCCCAUAGAACACAGCAGUGUCAGACGAGGGGAGAGUGAUUUGGGGCAGCGAUUCCUAAACUCAAAAAGUUCAGAGGUUCGGAGUUGAAUACUCAAGAGGGAUUUUUUUUUUGUAAUUCUAGGGCCGCAUCCACAGCACAUGGAAGUUUCCAGGCGAGGAGUCGAAUCAGAGCUGUAGCCGCUGGCCUACACCACAGCCACAGCAAUGCGGGAUCGGAGCCACGCCUGCGACCUACACCACGGCUCAUGGCAACGCCUGAUCCUUAACCCACUGAGCAAGGCCAGGGAUUGAACUCACAAUCUCAUGGAUACUAGUGAUGUUCGUUACUGCUGAGCCACGAUGGGAACUCCAGCGAGGCAUUUUUAAUUUCAUAUAGAAAUUAACUUUGCCACCACGAUAGAACAUGAGACAAAGUCUAUGAAUCCCUUCAGUGGUGGUUUGAAGUGCCAGCUAGGAAGGUCUUCUUUGUGCCUGGUUAUCCACAGUAAGAAGCUCUCUGGGCAUUUGUUGCGGUUUUGCUUGGGGUGGGCAAGGUCAUGAUGAGAUGGGAGAUGCGGUCAGAGGCACCUUCCACGGGACAUUCAGAGAUCGGAGCAGCUAGGGGAGGUCAAGGCAAGCUGGCGUCAUUGUUCAUUCAGUUGACAAAGAUUUCCUGAGCAGCAGCUGUGUGCCAGGCACCAGGGGUGGGGGGCACCGAGAAGACGACGGUGGUAUCUCUGUCAGGGUGAACUUGAUUAAAUGCACAGAAAAGCAGUCCAAUAAAACUCAGACUACAUGAGACGAGGGGAAAGGUGCUUCAUGAUGGAAGGGGGCCUUCCCUUCAGGUGGUUCUCCGAGCAGGUGAUUUCCAAGCUGAGAGCUAUAGGAUGGAAGGAAUGUGUCAGCCGAGGGCUUAGGGGGAAGGUCCCAGGCACAGAGCACAGGUCCCCUAAAAGGCCCUGGAGUGGGGAAUGAGUCUGGCCUUUGAGGAUCGAGAAGGCAGAUGCGCCCCAGGUGAGGAGGGGGCAAGCAGGUUUCGCCCCUCAGAAGCCUUCAGCUUGGUCCGAUCUUGCUCUGGCAGGCGUCCAUCCCAGAGGUCCCAGGGAAGCGCCCCACAACCCCCAAAGUGUCUCCAGCCCAGGCACCCAGGCUCUUAGGAGAGGCUUUGUCCCCAGGAGGCUGCCUGCCACGUUGGUCUUCUGUGACUAUCACUUGUUGAGGGGACUAAAAGGGGAUAUACAGCAAAAGCAGAUUUCAGUGGAACUAGUAGUUAAAUCAGGUGCUAAAAAGUGUUGAGAAUGUGCCCAAGGGACUAUGAAAUGACUGUAAAUGGAACUGGCUUUAUUUUGUUUGGGUUUUUUUUUUUUUUUUUGCUUUUUUUUAGGGCCAAACCUGAGGCAUAUGGAAGUUCCCAGACUAGGGGUCAAAUCAGAGUUGUAGCUCACACCACACCGCAGCUCACAGCAACUCCGGAUCCUUAACCCACUGAGCGAGACCAGGGAUCACACCCACAUCCUCAUGGAUCCAGGUUGGGUUCAUUACCACUGAGCCACCAUGAGAACUCACUAAAUGGAAGUGGUUUUAAAACGAGUGAUCUGCCUGCCCUCCUGUGGGUACAGCAAGGCAGCAGCCAUAAAACGAAAACCCUGGUCAGUUCCCAGAGUGAAACCUGCAGUCUUAGCCACCUAAGUCCUGGGGCAGGUGGUCCCCUGAGCAAGAUGCUGUUUCCCUAGGGGUGGGGGUGGGGGGCUUUUUCUGACGUUAAAGCUCCUCUAGUCUGGGACUCCCAGGUGGGCAGCCUGGUGGCCUCCUGCUCGGCCAGCCCCUCUCCUGAGCCCUGUGGGGGGAAGCCCCCUCCUCCCCGCCGAGGGGCUGCCCCCACCAGGGUCACCUUCUCUGCCUGCUCUUUGAAUCACCUCUCCCCCAUUUUUGAAGUGAUCUUUGAACUUGGGGGCUUGGGGCAGGAGGAAGAGAGCACCAGAAGUGUUGUGUAAACACUGGUUCUGAUCCUUCUCAACUUUUACUACCUGUAAGGACAGGUGGACGUGGAGAAGCUGCUGGCAGGAAGGGCCAAUUGUUCUCAAGGUUAUGGGUUAUGCAAUCGAGCAGAAGAGCUUUGAAGCUGCAGGAGGAGGUCAGAGCAGCUUGUCCACAAAGCAUAUGACGCAGAAGUUUCCCUUUAGAAGAACUUACUUGCUUGACUCUCGUUAGGAAUUCCUGUGCCAGCAUUUAGCUGGAUCUCUGGGGUGAGUCGUUAUCUCCGGUCUGCAGUUAAAGUAAGGAAUUUCUUUUAAAGGACCCUACUUCCGGAGUUUUCCUGAGAUGCCAGGCUGAAGCGGGUACCUUCAGCACCUAUUUUUGUAUAGAAUGUCGUUUCAUCCGAGUCUGUAACCUUGUGCUCGUGUCCGUGGGAAAGAAAAAAAUAGUGAGACCCUUCUUUAUCCAGUUACGAGGCGGAGGUAGACGGUGAUGUCAUAGGUUGUGUGGACCCGGCUGUGCUGAGCUUGCGUCUGGGACAGUGACCAGACAGACCAGAGGAGAAGUGGAAGGUAUUUUUAGCCCCUGGGGGCUGCUCUGGACGCCGCUUCUCCGGGCGCCCCAGUACCUCCCGCGGGGAGAUGCGGCGCAGGCGCACUGGCUCUCAUGCCUUCCGCCUCUGAAUCAUACCGUAGAAUAUUCGGGAGCCCUGGUGGGCUGCCGACUUGAUGGCGCAGCUUUGAGAGCCACACACUUCAGCCCAAAUCUGAGACGUUGCUGGAGGGCCUCUCAGCGGGCCCUGGGUCCCUCGCAGGGACCGGACCAGUCCUCUUCUUCCGAAGUGUGGUUUUCUCUGGAAAUCCGGGCCUGGGUACGCAGUUCACUCCUUUUUUUUUUUUUUUUUCCUGCGUUGAGCUGCUCCAGGCAUGCGUGGAAGUUCUGCUGCUGAGAACAGCAUGACCUCUGCAAGUAGGUUCUUAAAAUCUUUGGAGAGCCGGUUUGAACCGCGAGCAGUAAGUCAGCUGAAAACUUCUGUCAGGUUAUGUACAUCAAGUGCAGCUUUAGAAAAGUGAUAAAAGGAAGGGAUCCUGUCUGGGGUACGCAGGCUGUCCCUAGAAUCACUUUUGCAGGCUGAAGGGCUUCUGGAUGUGAUGUGGAGGGUGUAGGUCAGUUUCCGAAUAAGUCGGCUUCUGCUUGGCUGGUCAGGGUUUUGACUGCGGGCCAGUCCGUCUCUCUGGCCGUGGGAGUGAGCGGUGCCAGUAGGAGUGUGGAAGACACCACGUGCUGUGUGGAAGAAGCUCUGGAUGAGAUUAGGAGGCCGGAUCCUUGUCUCUCUCCUCCAGCUGCCUCCCCCGACCCCAGUAUGUCCCAGCCUCGAGCUCGAGUGACCCUGGCGGGUUCCUGGGCCUCUCUCUACCCCCGUUGAUAAGUUGAGGCCGUGUAUGGCCUACAGGCCCCGAGUCAGGCUGCCUGGGUCUGCAUCCAGGCUCUGCCCCUUGCUGGCUCUGUGACUCAGGGCACAUGAGCAUUUCUCAGUGUCUUGGUGCCUGUUUCCCCAUCACUAAUGGGAAUAGUACCCACUUCACAGGCUGCUGUGAGGCCCAAUUGGGUUAAAGUGUGUGGCCUGCCUGCAAGGCGGUUGGCCUUUCUUGGGAUGGCUCACAAAUGCCUCUUCCAGUGAGGGAGUCUGUUACUUUCUUCUACCUCUUCAGGCAAAUGGACCACCCGAGAGGUCCCUAGAGGAGGCAAAGCAGGUGAUGACCAGGGAAGCCAGAGGGGCCCUGGGGUGGGUCUCGGUGCCCGCCCUGUGCUCUGCCUCCCUCCCUGGUCUCCCCAAGAAAAGCUCAGCCCGGCAGAGCACAGGCCCCAGCAGCUCCCGCUGUUAACUGUGCAGGGAAGACAGAUCCUCAGGUGAGCAGCGUCGCUGCCCUGGGGUGCUGCCCCCAGGCCCACGGAUGCCCAGGCAGCCUGUGCCAGUUUUCUCAGUUUUCAAGUGUCGUGGUCAGACUGGGUCAUGGGGGCCAAGCUCUUUACUAGCUGGUUCCCCUGAUGAAAACUCUUUCAUUGAAACGCUUCAUUCCCGAUCUACAUUGUUUCCAAUCCCCAUGCUCUUCUCUGAGGGCUCAGCUGGCUGCCCUUCAGAGAGCCCAGUGAGAGACAAGUGUAGUAGUUUCAUGCAGCUUCCCACCUCCCUCUCCAACCGCCUGGUACUCCGUGGUUUCUGCAGAGGUUCUCAGUAGGAGAAAAGUUAUGUUUAUGGGGCACAUUCAGAGAGCUUGUGCCUCCAUUCCAGAAUUUGUUUGGAGGCUCUGCCCCACGUGGUGGAGAAUCUUGUUAAGUUCGGGUGGUUCCCUACAGUUUCCACUAGAAAUUACGUCUUUAAAGACUGCUCUGGGCAGGAGAGUCUGGAACUCCCUGCUAGAGACCUUGGGGACUGGCAAGGGACAUCUACGAAUCCGAAGAGGGGCUAAGUUAGGUGAGCAAUCUGAGAACAGAGGCCAGGCUUUAUUGCCUUGUAAAUCACAAACCUGAAGUUUUGUCAGAUCUUUGGGUAAGGGGAGAGCCACCCUGAAUAGAUAACCCUGUCCUAAAUUGCCUUUGCAAGGACCUAAAAUAUGAGACUAUUGAAUGUUCUUCAUUAUACGUAAUUGUUAGUCCAGGAGUUCCCAUUGUGGCUCAGUGGUAAUGAAACCCACUAGUAUCCAUGAGGACGAGGGUUCCAUCUCAGGCCUCACUCAGUGGGUUAAGGGUCCAGUGUUGCUUUGAGCUGUGGUGUAGACCAGCAGCUGUGGCUCUGAUUCAAUCCCUAGGCUGAGAACUUCCUCAGAACUUGAGAACUGUGCCACAGGUGCAG